UCGCCCUGCACCCUGCCGCCCACAGCCACCGCAGUCUCUGCCGCUACUGCAGCCACGCAGCCCCCGCAUCAGCCCUCGCAGCUCCCCGCAACCCCCACAGCCUCGCAGCCCCUCAGCGGCGCAGCCACCGCAGCCCCUACAUAGACACAGCCUCUACCGCCACCGUAGAAGAUCCGUCGCCGUCGGAUUCCGAGCUUCUUUUCAUUCCAGAUCAGCGCUUUCUUUGUCAGAUUCCCGUCGCGCAGCUGGUAGAUCGCAAACCCUAACUUUUCUCUUCGGCUGGUGCAACAAGAAGACUACCUCGAUUGAUCAGUAAGGCAAUAGCAAAGGAUCUUAUAUUGACCGGUUGAAGGGUUUACGGCAGAGAAGCUGAGGCUCUAGGACUUGCCAACUACUGUGUUCCUGCUGGUGAAACUUACACAAAGGCACUUGAGGUUGCCAGGAAUAUCAAUGAGAAGUUGGCAAUGAUUAGAGAAAGCAAUCUAAUAUAGUGAGGCUGGAAGCUCUCGGAAUAUCAUCAUUGUUGGGUUAUCAUUGUUUUUCUCUCUUUCCAUACCUGCCUACUUUCAACAAUAUGGUCUCUCUCCAUCCAACAUGUCAGUGCCGAAUUAUUUCCAGCCUUAUGUUGUGGCUUCUCAUGGACCUAUACAGAGCAAGAAUGGAGGGGUCUGGAGAAUGGGGAGAUCAUUUGACAUUGCAAGCAGCUGCUGAUAAGGUUUGCUAUGCAGAGAUAUUUGCUCUCAUUCUCUAAGAAUUGGAUCUCACUCAAUCUGACAAAUAACUUGUAUGCAUGUUUGUUUUUAUGCAUUCUGUGCAUGACCAUGAUUGAAGAGCAUGCAAGCAUCUCUCUUAAAUGGAAUUGCAUAUGCUCAGUCCAAUGUAAACAAAUCAAAGAAGAAGAACUAGAUGAACAAAUACUUUCAAGUUUCAGCCACACAAGAGUCUACCAUGGAGUGAAGAAUCAUGUAACUCAGAUUAGAUUGGAGAGUUUAAACUUUAAAGAGAGCAUGAGGAAAUAGUUUUAAAAUUUAGGCUGAAAGUCCUGCCCUUCUCUGUUGUAGUUUAAAAGAAAUUUUGGGGUAUUUUUUUAUCGAGAUAGUGAGAUAUUGAAUAAUGGUGUUGAAAAAUAACAUCCAAUUUAUA